rnacentral:rRNA from 1 species
CCUGUUUGAUCCUGCCUAUAGUUAUAUUCUUGUCUUAAAGAUUAACUAGUGCAUGUGUAAGUAUGAACUAAUUCAGACUAUGAAAUUGUGAAAGGCCCAUUAAAUGAGUUAUAAUUUGUUUAAUGGUACCUACUACUCAAAUAACUACAGUAAUUCUAGAGCUAAUAUGUGCAACAAACCCCUACUUCUAGAAGGGAUGCAUUUAUUAGAUAAAAGGUCAAUGUGGGCUUUGCUCGUUGAUUUGAUGAUUCAUGAUAACUUAACAGAUUGCAUAGCCUUCUAUCAAUGAUGCAUCAUUCAAAUUUUUACCCUAUCAACUUUUGAUGGUAAGAUAGGGGCCUACUAUAGUGGUGUCGGGUGCAAAGAAUUAUGGUUUGAUUCUAGAAUAAAAGCCUAAGAAAUGGCUACCACAUCCAAGGAAGGUAGCAAGAGUGCAAAUUACCCAAUCCUGACAUGGGGAAGUAGUGGCAAUAAAUAAUAAUACCAAGCUCUAUGAGUCUAGUAAUUACAAUGAGUACAAUCUAAAUCCCUUAAUGAGGAUCCAUUAGAGGGCAAGUUUGGUGGUGGCAACAGUCAUGGUAGUUCCAACUCCAAUAACGUAUAUUUAAGUUGUUGUAAUUAAAAAAUUAAUAGAUGAACGAGGUUUGCAUCAUCUAGUUUGCCUCAUGGUGAGCAUCGGUUUACUUGUCCCUAUUGCUAGUGAUGCGCUCUUAGCCUUAACUAACUGUGUUGUUCCUCUGGCACUAUUACUUAGAAAAAAUUCGAGUGCUCAAAGUAAUCCUACGCUUGUAUACAUCAACAUGGGAUAACAUCAUAGGAUUUUGAUCCUAUUAUGUUGGCCUUCAGGAUUGGAAUAAUGAUUAAUAGGGACAGUUUCAUAUUUCAUAGUCAAAGGUGAAGUUCUUGGAUUUAUGAAAGAUGAACAAUUGCAAAAGUAUUUGCUAAGCAUGUUUUCAUUAGUUAAGAAUGCAAGUUAAGGGCUUAAAGAUGAUCAGAUACUGUCCUAAUCUUGACCACCAUUGGGACAUGUUGGCCCAUGGUCUCGACACAUGCUUUAACCUCCAUUAGCACAUGAUGGCCCAUUGUACAGGCAGUUUCCUUGAACACCAUUGGCACAUGCUGGGCCAAACACCACCUAUAGGUAUCCUAGGCUCGAACCGUGCACCAUGCACACCAAGAGUAGUUAGGUUCAGGCAUAGUUUCAUAUUUCUGCCAUGCCAAUGCCAUUUUUAUGGCUUGUAAGUUCAUAUAAGCGCUUUUUAGUGCCUAUACUUAGGCCUGGCUCAAUUUUACCAAACCUAAAUGUAGUGCCUAAGCCUCUGGAGUCUUAAUAACUACCUAUACCACUGUUAUAGGCUAGUUUCCCAUGACUUGGUCCUUCAGUAGGCCUUAAGGCUUGGUCUUCUAACAGUCGAACCCGGUCCAACUAGAAUUGAAACUACUUUUUAACUUAGAGAGAACCCAUGGGCCUAGACUAGCUUGCAGACUAUGACACAUACACAUGCCUUAAUU